AUUCCGGUUGAUCCUGCCGGAGGCCAUUGCUAUCGGAGUCCGAUUUAGCCAUGCUAGUCGUGCGAGUUCAGACUCGCGGCACCGAGCUCAGUAACACGUGGCCAAACUACCCUACAGAGACGGACACCCUCGGGAAACUGAGGUUAACCCGUCAUACCGAUCUCAGGCUUGAAUCGCAGAGAUCACAAAACGCCCCGGCGCUGUAGGAUGUGGCUGCGGUUGAUUAGGUAGACGGUGGGGUAACGGCCCACCGUGCCCAUAAUCAGUACAGGUUGUGAGAGCAAGAACCUGGAGACGGAAUCUGAGACAAGAUUCCGGGCCCUACGGGGCGCAGCAGGCGCGAAACCUUUACACUGCACGCACGUGCGAUAAGGGGACUCCGAGUGCGAGGGCAUAUCGUCCUCGCUUUCGUGUACCGUAGGGUGGUACACCAACAAGGGCUGGGCAAGACCGGUGCCAGCCGCCGCGGUAAUACCGGCAGCCCGAGUGAUGGCCGAUCUUAUUGGGCCUAAAGCGUCCGUAGCUAAG
rnacentral:rRNA from 1 species